CCCAAGCGCCUGAGACAGGACGCCAGCGGCUCCACCAUGGACUGGGUGCCAAGCUGCGUUUUCCUCCUGAUCAUUUCUCAAGGUGUCCAGUGUGAGGUGCAGCUGGUGGAGUCUGGGGGAGGCCUGGUGCAGCCUGGGGGGUCUCUGAGACUCUCCUGUGUAGCCUCUGGGUUCACCUUCGGGGACUAUCACAUGAACUGGGUCCGCCAGGCUCCAGGGAAGGGGCUGGAGUGGGUCAAAUACACUAGUAAUGGUGAUGGUAACCCCAUAUACUACGUAGCCUCUGUGAAGGGCCGCUUCACGAUCUCCAGAGACAACACCAAGAACUCGCUGUAUCUGCAAAUGAACAGCCUGAGAGCCGAGGACACGGCCAUGUAUUACUGUGCAAGACACAGUGAGAGGGAGUCACUGUGA